rnacentral:pre_miRNA from 1 species
AGUACAAUUGCUGAGUCAUAUGGUAAGACUGUUUAGUUUUGUAAGAAACUGCCAAACUGUCUUUCAAAGUGGCUGUACCAUUUGCAUUCCCAUUAGCAAU